rnacentral:rRNA from 12 species
GCGGCUAGACGGAAAGACCCCGUGAACCUUUACUAUAGCUUAGUAUUGGCUUUGGAUAAGUAAUGUGUAGGAUAGGUGGGAGACUACGAAGCAGCGUCGCUAGGCGUUGUGGAGUCAUUGUUGAAAUACCACCCUUUGCUUGUCUAGAGUCUAACCCACAAUGUGGGGACAGUGCUUGGUGGGUAGUUUGACUGGGGUGGUCGCCUCCAAAAGAGUAACGGAGGC